rnacentral:tRNA from 1 species
AAUUUUUUAAUAUAAAAAGUAUAUUUGGCUUCCAACCAGAAGGUCUAAAAAUUUUAGAAAAAUUA